GAAUUUUAUUAUUAUUAUUAUUAUUAUUAUUAUUAUCCAAUAUCUUUGUGUCAAAUCCAUUAAUUUUUUUGUCUGAUUUAAAAUUUUUGUUUACCUGGUAAUAUUGUAGUCAGUUCACACAUGCCUGCUUUAGUUCUUCGUAUUUUUUAAUUUUAAAUUGGUUGUUUUCUUCUAAUAUUUCCUUGUAUGUUAGCCAAUUGAUAGCCAUGUUUUUCUUUUUCACUGCUGUUGCCUCUACCGGUGACAACCACCAAGGGGUUUUGUGUUCCAGUAAUUUUUUAUUUCUUUCCCAUACAGUAAAUAGAGAUUUCCUUCUUAUGUGAUUGAGGAAUCGUCCUUGAAUUUUAACUUUAUUAUAUCCCAGAUAACUGUGCCAGCCGAACCUAUUGUCCCAGACUUUGAUGUCUAAUAUAUUUGCAUUUUAAACAUUUUAAAAAACCAUCCAUUCUUUAAGCCUUCAGGUGAGCAAUUGUUCUGUUGCUGAGAGGAAGACGAUUGCGAGGUCUGUAAGACUCUGACGAUAAUGGAGUCUGGAGGAGACUGACCUCUGCUUCGAGGAGACUUGGAGGAAGGCAGAGGUGGUUAGUUUGUAUUUUACUUUAUUUCUGACAUUUCCCCCUUUGUUUCACCUGUAGAGUUGCCAGCCCAGGGCCGACUGUUGGAGCUCCACUCUUUGAGGAGGUUCACGGUGGAGCCCCUUGGGAAGAUGAUCUUCAUGUGGCCGGGCGAACUUGGGAAGGGUACCUCAGCCUCCACCAUCUUUGGCAUUUAAAGCCGAGCUCUGGGAGCCAGUGGGGGGCAGUCCUUGGAUAGGACAUGCCAACAUGCCCCCCAAGGGGACCUUGGGGGCCAGAGAGACAGCCACUGGCACCCACAGGUUCACCUCUCACCCCCACCAAAAUCAGGCUUGAAAGAAGCAUCUUUUGGUAGCCAACAGAAUAGGGGCAGUUUGGGCUUGGGAGGGUGGGGUAUGGCAGCUCCAGGGGUUUCCCAUCCCUUAAGUGGCCAUUCUCUUCUUUCCCUUUCCCUUCCACCCAGACGGAGUCCUCAUCAAGGCUCUGAGCCUGGCCUUGGCUGGGGAGGGCGGGGUAUUAAUAAUAAUAAUAUCAUCAUCAUCAUCAUCAUCAUCAUCAUCAUCAUCAAAGACCUUGAGACAGGGGAGAGGGAGAUCUUGCCAAGUUAAGUCCAGCCAAAAAGAAUGACAACCAUGGGCAUAGCCAGGAUUUUGGUUAGGGGGGGCCUUUCAUUUUGGGGGCAGGACCUCAGUUUGCUAUGUAUUUUUAUUGGUUUUUAUUGAUGGGGGUCAGCUUCCCCUCCCUGCCCCUCUGGCUAUGCCUAUGGUGACAAGAGACUUCCCAGGCAAGUUCAGAUACAUGAAUAAGAUGGGAGAAAGCUCUUCUCUUUCGGCUCAAACCAGGGACCUCUCCCUGCAAAUGGCACAUGGUUGCUAUUUGACAUCACAAUGAAUUUAUUUUGUACACAUAGGGGUGCCUCCCCACCAUGCCAGGUUCCUGAGACGCACAGGCAUAUCUGGCAGGACGGCACCAAACAAAGGGUCCUGGACCAAAGUAUUUUCUGAGAUCUUUUUGAUAACUGGGCCAACAGUUCACCCUUCCCCUUGUCUGGCUCUUUUGAAUUUGUAUAUAACAAGGAACUGAUUUUGUAUCUGUUGACACUGGCUGGGACCACAACUGCCAAAUUUUGGAAGACCUCAGCAGAGCAGAUUCCUCGCUCCUUCCCAAAGAUGAGUCUGUCAAGGCCUUUCUUCCGUGGAGAUCAGGAUUGGCAACUGGUGUCCCUGGGACCAAACUGCCCUCCUGAGACAAAUCAGCUUGUCUAAGCCACAAACAUGUCUUGAGGAAAUGGAUUUCUUGGAUUCUCCCUCCUCCCUCCUCCCUCCAAAGCCCAACUGCCUUUAACUGUCACACACAUCUGUCCCAACUGUCACCUGCCUAUCACACUCCAUCCUCAGCCAAUCAGCAUGCAGCACACCCCAAGGUUCUAUCCUCCUCUCAUAGUCCACCCACUGCUCUCAUUUUACCUUAUAUCCCACAAAUGUUUCUCUACACAACAUUUUACUACAUGUCCCUUAAUAUAUAAACACCACACACAAAAACACACACACACACCCCUGAACGAUUUGUGUCUGGCCACCUCCUCUUUCCUUGGGAGUUUUUAAACAGAGUAUGUAUGGCCAUUCUAAGAGAAUGAGGGAGGUGUUAAUGAUAAAAUCUGGUGAAGAAGAAUGCCUUUUCAGGAGAUGAAAAGGUUUUACAGAGCAGUCCUACAUGUUAUGUACUCAGAAGGCUGGUGGAGGCAGGAAUUGCUGAAUAUCGAGUGUCGCUUCUUGUAUAAAUAAGUGAAAAUAAGAAAAUAUUUUGAGGGGGGAUUGCAUUCCAGCAAGCCCCAGCAAAGUAAGAUAAAAGCAUUAAAAAUGGCAGCGGUCCAGUUGAUGCAUUCGUUUGAAACACAGCAGCAAGAUUAAACGUUAAGAGAUUUGUCAAUUUUAUUUAAAGGCUUCCCCUGAAAAGAUACAAAGUAGCGGGCCUCCAUCAGGAGAC